rnacentral:rRNA from 1 species
GAUGAACGCUGGCGGCGUGCCUAAUACAUGCAAGUCGAGCGAAGCGCCUGCUUCUGAACUUUCGGGUGAAGAAACAGGCGACUGAGCGGCGGACGGGUGAGUAACACGUAGGUAACCUGCCUCACACAGGGGGAUAACAGUUAGAAAUGACUGCUAAUACCGCAUAAGCGCACCGGACCGCAUGGUCUGGUGUGAAAAGCUCCGGCGGUGUGAGAUGGACCUGCGUCUGAUUAGCCAGUUGGCGGGGUAAAGGCCCACCAAAGCGACGAUCAGUAGCCGGCCUGAGAGGGUGGACGGCCACAUUGGGACUGAGACACGGCCCAGACUCCUACGGGAGGCAGCAGUAGGGAAUAUUGCACAAUGGGGGAAACCCUGAUGCAGCGACGCCGCGUGAGCGAAGAAGUAUCUCGGUAUGUAAAGCUCUAUCAGCAGGGAAGAAGAUGACGGUACCUGACUAAGAAGCACCGGCUAAAUACGUGCCAGCCGCCGCUGUAACAC